rnacentral:rRNA from 1 species
UACGUAGGGGGCAAGCGUUGUCCGGAAUCAUUGGGCGUAAAGCGCGUGUAGGCGGCUCGAUAAGUCUGCUGUGAAAGUCCAGGGCUCAACCCUGGGAUGCCGGUGGAUACUGUCGAGCUCGAGUCCGGAAGAGGCGAGUGGAAUUCCUGGUGUAGCGGUGAAAUGCGUAGAUAUCGGGAGGAACACCAGUGGCGAAGGCGACUACCUGGCCUGUUCUUGACGCUGAGGCGCGAAAGCUAGGGAGCAAACGGG